rnacentral:lncRNA from 1 species
GCUGGAAGAAGUUUCACUUUUGAAAGGAGAAAGAGGUAAAGAGCAGGUGCUAAGACCUGGCCUUGAUGCAUGCAAGGUGAAAGGCGCUGAGACGCUGGCAGACAUCGAUCCUGGCGUUUGAGAAGCGCUAAAAAAAUCACUGGAGAACUGUCAUGAGAAACUCUCGGUGGUGAAGGGCAUCUCCUGAGAAGGAGUCCCGUGCCACAGACUGCGUGUGACAGUCCUGCUCAGGUGUCUGUGAAUUUUACAGACGAGGAGGCUGAGCGGAGAGAGUAUGGAGAACUCAAUCAGGGUCUUACAGCUGGUUAGGGGUGAAUUCAGGCUCAGUCAGUCUGACUCCAGAGCCCAAACUUCUCACAGUUAGGUCACUCUGUGUUUGCUGGAAAUGUUUGUUUCUCUAUGAUGCCUUCUUCCACCUCACGAAGUCGAAUUGGCCAUUUCCUCUUCCGUUCCAGGCUGCCUGCUCGUGGACUUUAUACAGCUCUCCACCAAAGCCUUGCCCUGCUGAGUGAAUUUGACUCUUGGCCUUGGCAGGUUGUCUUCACUGUACCAGCAGUGAGCUCCCUGGGCCAUCCUAGGCCAGAGGUCCUGAAGCAAUCUUUUGCUGGCCUCUGUCUUGUCUGGACCAAAACCCAAGGAUCAAGCGGGACUGUGCCUCUCAGAAUGUAGGAACGGGGAUAUUUAGCUGCUGCUUGGGCCCGAGGGGGAGCUUCCUGACAUGACAGAACAUGCAGGAUGGAGACACACUGGGGGCAGGAGGACCUUCAGGCCCUUUGUCAUUGCUCUAAGGACUGUCAGCUCAGACUCCACAUCUUCUUCCUCGCAGAGGACAUAGAUAAGUAACGAUUGUUACUACUCUUUAGAAAAGAAUGAUGAAAAUAUAUGAAGAAGAUG